CCUACGGGAGUCAGCAGUGGGGAAUAUUGGGCAAUGGGCGCAAGCCUGACCCAGCAACGCCGCGUGAAGGAAGAAGGCUUCCGGGUUGUAAACUUCUUUUGUCCGGGAAGAGUAGAAGACGGUACCUGACGAAUAAGCCACGGCUAACUACGUGCCAGCAGCCGCGGUAAUACGUAGGUGGCACGCGUUGUCCGGAUUUACUGGGUGUAAAGGGCGUGUAGCCGGGUUGACAAGUCAGAUGUGAAAUCCUGCGGCUUAACCGCAGAACUGCAUUUGAAACUGUUGAUCUUGAGUACUGGAGAGGCAGACGGAAUUCCUAGUGUAGCGGUGAAAUGCGUAGAUAUUAGGAGGAACACCAGUGGCGAAGGCGGUCUGCUGGACAGCAACUGACGGUGAGGCGCGAAAGCGUGGGGAGCAAACAGGAUUAGAUACCCGAGUAGUC
rnacentral:rRNA from 1 species